AUCCAGCUGACGAGUCUCAAAUAGGACGAGAUGUGCGGUGUCCUGGAU
rnacentral:hammerhead_ribozyme from 1 species